rnacentral:rRNA from 1 species
GACGAACGCUGGCGGCGUGCUUAACACAUGCAAGUCGAACGGAAAGGCCCUGCUUUUGUGGGGUGCUCGAGUGGCGAACGGGUGAGUAACACGUGAGUAACCUGCCCUUGACUUUGGGAUAUCUUCAGGAAACUGGGGCUAAUACCGGAUAGGAGCUCCUGCUGCAUGGUGGGGGUUGGAAAGUUUCGGCGGUUGGGGAUGGACUCGCGGCUUAUCCGCUUGGUGGUGGGGUAGUGGCUUACCAAGGCUUUGACGGGUAGCCGGCCUGAGAGGGUGACCGGCCACAUUGGGACUGAGAUACGGCCCAGACUCCUACGGGAGGCAGCAGUGGGGAAUAUUGCACAAUGGGCGGAAGCCUGAUGCAGCAACGCCGCGUGCGGGAUGACGGCCUUCGGGUUGUAAACCGCUUUCGCCUGUGACGAAGCGUGAGUGACGGUAAUGGGUAAAGAAGCACCGGCUAACUACGUG